rnacentral:rRNA from 1 species
AUACAGAGGGUGCGAGCGUUAAUCGGAAUUACUGGGCGUAAAGCGUGCGUAGGCGGAUUAUUAAGCAAGAUGUGAAAGCCCAGGGCUCAACCUUGGAACUGCAUUUUGAACUGGUAGUCUAGAGUACUGUAGAGGGUGGUGGAAUUUCCAGUGUAGCGGUGAAAUGCGUAGAGAUUGGAAGGAACAUCAGUGGCGAAGGCGGCCACCUGGACAGAUACUGACGCUGAGGCACGAAAGCGUGGGGAGCGAACAGGAUUAGAAACCCUAGUAGUCC